UGGUUCUGGCAUCGAUGAAGAACGCAGCGAAAUGCGAUAAGUAAUGUGAAUUGCAGAAUUCAGUGAAUCAUCGAAUCUUUGAACGCACAUUGCGCCCACUAGUAUUCUGGUGGGCAUGCCUGUUCGAGCGUCAUUUCAACCCUCAAGCCUCGCUUGGUGUUGGCGCCCUGCGCAUGCCGCAGGCGCCCAAAUUCAGUGGCGGACACGCUGGGUCUCCGAGCGCAGUAACUUUUCUCGCUUUGGGCGUCCGGCGCGGGCUUGCCUCGCACCCAUCUUUUACAAGGUUGACCUCGGAUCAGGUAGGAAUACCCGCUGA
rnacentral:misc_RNA from 1 species